rnacentral:ncRNA from 22 species
AAAUUAUAAGAAGGGACCCAACACAGAAAAUUCAUUUUAUUGAAUUUUACAUUUAUGUGCAAGUUGGGCAAAGUGUCUUAUUUUUUAAAAGUAUUUCAAAGUAAAAUUACAUGUUAAUACGUAGUAUUAAUGGCGAGACUCCUGAGGGAGCAGUGCCAGUCGAAGACCAAGGCUGAGACGGCACCCUAGGAAAGCGAAGCCAUUCAAUACGAAGUAUUGUAUAAAUAGAGAACAGCAG